UACAGAGGUCUCAAGCGUUGUUCGGAUUCAUUGGGCGUAAAGGGUGCGUAGGUGGCGGGGCAAGUCAGGUGUGAAAUCUCGGGGCUCAACCCCGAAACUGCACUUGAUACUGCUUUGCUCGAGUACUGGAGAGGAGACUGGAAUUUACGGUGUAGCAGUGAAAUGCGUAGAUAUCGUAAGGAAGACCAGUGGCGAAGGCGAGUCUCUGGACAGUUCCUGACGCUGAGGCACGAAGGUCAGGGGAGCAAACGGG
rnacentral:rRNA from 1 species